rnacentral:rRNA from 1 species
GAUGAACGCUAGCUACAGGCUUAACACAUGCCAGUCGAGGGGAAACGGCAUCGAAAGCUUGCUUUUGAUGGGCGUCGACCGGCGCACGGGUGAGUAACGCGUAUCCAACCUGCCCAUCACUUGGGAAUAACCUUGCGAAAGUAAGACUAAUGCCCAAUGACAUCCCACGAAGGCAUCCGAAUGGGAUUAAAGAUUUAUCGGUGAUGGAUGGGGAUGCGUCUGAUUAGCUUGUUGGCGGGGUGACGGCCCACCAAGGCAACGAUCAGUAGGGGUUCUGAGAGGAAGGUCCCCCACAAUGGAACUGAGACACGGUCCAAACUCCUACGGGAGGCAGCAGUGAGGAAUAUUGGUCAAUGGGCGAGAGCCUGAACCAGCCAAGUAGCGUGCAGGAGGACGGCCCUAUGGGUUGUAAACUGCUUUUAUAAGGGAAUAAAGUGGGUCACGUGUGACUUUUUGCAUGUACCUUAUGAAUAAGGACCGGCUAAUUCCGUG